rnacentral:rRNA from 1 species
UGAGGAAUAUUGGACAAUGGGCGCAAGCCUGAUCCAGCCAUGCCGCGUGCGGGAUGAAGCAUCUAUGGUGUGUAAACUGCUUUUGUACGGGAAGAAACCACCCCUCGUGAGGGGUAUUGACGGUACCGUAAGAAUAAGGAUCGGCUAACUCCGUGCCAGCAGCCGCGGUAAUACGGAGGAUCCAAGCGUUAUCCGGAAUCAUUGGGUUUAAAGGGUCCGUAGGCGGGUCUGUAAGUCAGUGGUGAAAUCUCCCCGCUCAACGGGGAAACUGCCAUUGAUACUGCAGGUCUUGAAUUAUUGGGAAGUAACUAGAAUAUGUAGUGUAGCGGUGAAAUGCUUAGAGAUUACAUGGAAUACCGAUUGCGAAGGCAGCUUACUAAACUGACACUGACGCUGAUGCACGAAAGCGUGGGGAUCGAACA